rnacentral:ncRNA from 1 species
UCCGCCUGGGUCCGUGGUUGCGUCGCAGAGAGGUCCGCGUUGCGGACAUCCGAGCGGCAAGCCGAUGCCAGUCGCAGGCGAAACGGUCCACGUAACCCUUCGAUCCCAGAUUUUGGGGCAAGGGGAUCACGGUGCGGCUUAGAGAUAAGUCCUGCCCUUGCCCUCCCGUCAGAUACGGGAACCAGCAGGGAGAAGGUGGAGUGGCAUCAAGCCGCUAAGCCUCUGCAGGCGGUUGUGGGGUCGAAGACCAGGUCGGCCGGGCGGA